rnacentral:rRNA from 1 species
GACGAACGCUGGCGGCGUGCUUAACACAUGCAAGUCGAACGGGAUUUAGUAGACAGAAGCCUCGGCUAAAGAUUACUAAUGAGAGUGGCGAACGGGUGAGUAACGCGUGAGCAACCUGCCUAUGACAGUGGGAUAGCCUCGGGAAACCGGGAUUAAUACCGCAUAAAAUCGUAGAAACACAUGUUUUAACGGUCAAAGAUUUAUCGGUCAUAGAUGGGCUCGCGUCUGAUUAGCUAGUUGGUGAGAUAACAGCCCACCAAGGCGACGAUCAGUAGCCGGGCUGAGAGGAUGAACGGCCACAUUGGAACUGAGACACGGUCCAAACUCCUACGGGAGGCAGCAGUGGGGAAUAUUGCACAAUGGGGGAAACCCUGAUGCAGCGACGCCGCGUGAACGAAGAAGGUAUUCGUAUCGUAAAGUUCUGUCCUAUGGGAAGAUAAUGACAGUACCAUAGAAGAAAGCUCCGGCUAAAUACGUG